rnacentral:rRNA from 1 species
UGGUCAAGUUAUUAAGGGUGCAGGGCGGAUGCCUUGGCACUAGGAGCCGAUGAAGGACGUGAUAAGCUGCGAUAAGCUUCGGGGAGUUGCACGUAAACUUUGAUCCGAAGAUUUCCGAAUGAGGAAACUCACUUAGAGUAAUGUCUAAGUAUCAUUAAGUGAAUACAUAGCUUAAUGAGGGGAACUCAGGGAACUGAAACAUCUAAGUACCUGAAGGAAGAGAAAGAAAUUCGAUUCCGUAAGUAGCGGCGAGCGAACGCGGAUUAGCCCAAACCAAUAAAGUUUUCUUUAUUGGGGUUGCGGACAUAUCAUAACGAAGAGGUAUCGUAAUUGAAGAGGUUUGGAAAGACCCACCACAGAAGGUAAUAGUCCUGUAUGUUAAACGAGAAGACUUUAGAUAUGAUCCAGAGUACCACGGGACACGUGAAACCCUGUGGGAAGCAGGAGGGACCACCCUCCAAGGCUAAAUACUACCUAGUGACCGAUAGCGUAUAGUACCGUGAGGGAAAGGUGAAAAGAACCCCGGGAGGGGAGUGAAAUAGAACCUGAAACCCUGCACUUACAAGCUGUGGAAGCACAUUUCUUGUGUGACCGCGUACUUUUUGUAGAACGGGCCAACGAGUUACGUUAAGUAGCAAGGUUAAGCACUUAAGGUGUGGAGCCGUAGCGAAAGCGAGUUUUAACUGAGCGUUCAGUUACUUGACGUAGACCCGAAACCGGGCGACCUACCCAUGAGCAGGAUGAAGCGAAAGUAAAAUUUCGUGGAGGUCCGAACCCACGAGCGUUGAAAAGCUCGGGGAUGACUUGUGGGUAGCGGUGAAAUUCCAAUCGAGCCCGGAGAUAGCUGGUUCUCCCCGAAAUAGCUUUAGGGCUAGCCUCAAGGUGAGAGAUACGGAGGUAGAGCACUGAAUGUCCUAGGGGGUAUUGCACCUACCGAAGACUAUCAAACUCCGAAUGCCGUCAUCUUAUACUUGGGAGUCAGACUGUGGGUGAUAAGAUUCAUAGUCGAAAGGGCAACAGCCCAGAUCGUCAGCUAAGGUCCCUAAAUGUAAGUUAAGUGGUAAAGGAUGUGGGAUUGCACAGACAACCAGGAUGUUGGCUUAGAAGCAGCCACUCAUUCAAAGAGUGCGUAAUAGCUCACUGGUCGAGUGAUCCUGCGCCGAAGAUUUCCGGGGCUAAAACUUACUACCGAAGCUACGGCAUCAGUAAUGAUGGGUAGGGGAGCUUCCCAUACGGGUUGAAGCAUGACCGUAAGGACAUGUGGACAGUAUGGGAGUGAGAAUGUUGGCAUGAGUAGCGAGAUGUGGGUGGGAAUCCCACAGGCCGUAAACCCAAGGUUUCCAGGGGAAGGUUCGUCCGCCCUGGGUUAGUCGGGACCUAAGCUGAGGCCGAAAGGCGUAGGUGAUGGACAACAGGUUGAUAUUCCUGUACUACCGAUAACCGUUUGAGAGAAGGGAUGACACAGUAGGAUAAGCUAAGCACACUGUUGGUUAUGUGUGCCCAAGCAUUGAGGCAGUCAAAGUAGGCAAAUCCGCUUUGAUAAUGCUGGGAUGUGAUGGGGAGCGAAAUUUAGUAGCGAAGUAGCUGAUUUCACACUGUCAAGAAAAGUCUCUAUCGAGGUUAAAGGUACCCGUACCGCAAACCGACACAGGUGGGUGAGGAGAGUAUCCUAAGGCCAGCGAGAGAACUGUUGUUAAGGAACUCGGCAAAAUGACCCCGUAACUUAGGGAUAAGGGGUGCCACCAUCAGGUGGCCGCAGAGAAUAGGCCCAAGCGACUGUUUACCAAAAACAUAGGUUUCUGCUAAGUCGCAAGACGAUGUAUAGGAGCUGACGCCUGCCCGGUGCUGGAAGGUUAAGGGGAUCUGUUAGAGCAAUCGAAGCAGUGAACUUAAGCCCCAGUAAACGGCGGCCGUAACUAUAACGGUCCUAAGGUAGCGAAAUUCCUUGUCGGGUAAGUUCCGACCCGCACGAAAGGCGUAACGAUUUGGGCACUGUCUCAACAACAGACUCGGUGAAAUUGUAAUUCCGGUGAAGAUGCCGGAUACCUGCGACAGGACGGAAAGACCCCAUGGAGCUUUACUGUAGCUUGACAUUGGGUCUUGGUACUACAUGUACAGGAUAGGUGGGAGGCUUUGAAACCAGGACGCCAGUUUUGGCGGAGCCAUCCUUGGGAUACCACCCUUGUAGUACUGGGACUCUAACCAUAGGCCAUGAAUCUGGUCUUGGGACACUGUCAGGUGGGCAGUUUGACUGGGGCGGUCGCCUCCCAAAAGGUAACGGAGGCGCUCAAAGGUUCUCUCAGUACGGUCGGAAAUCGUACGUAGAGUGUAAAGGCAAAAGAGAGCUUGAUUGCAAGACAUACAGGUCGAGCAAGGAUGAAAAUCGGACUUAGUGAUCCGGUGGUUCUGCGUGGAAGGGCCAUCGCUCAACGGAUAAAAGCUACCCUGGGGAUAACAGGCUUAUCUCCCCCAAGAGUCCACAUCGACGGGGAGGUUUGGCACCUCGAUGUCGGCUCAUCACAUCCUGGGGCUGUAGUAGGUCCCAAGGGUUGGGCUGUUCGCCCAUUAAAGUGGUACGCGAGCUGGGUUCAGAACGUCGUGAGACAGUUCGGUCCCUAUCCGUCGCAGGCGUAGGAAAUUUGAGAAGACCUGUCCUUAGUACGAGAGGACCGGGAUGGACGUACCUCUGGUGUACCAGUUGUUCUGCCAAGGGCAUGGCUGGGUAGCUAUGUACGGAAUGGAUAAGCGCUGAAAGCAUCUAAGCGCGAAGCCAACUUCAAGAUAAGAUUUCCCACCGCAAGGGUAAGACCCCAGAAAGACUAUCUGGUUGAUAGGUCGAAGGUGUAAGUGCAGCAAUGUAUUUAGCUUAUCGAUACUAAUAGGUCGAGGACUUGACCAAU